GACGAACGCUGGCGGCGUGCUUAACACAUGCAAGUCGAACGGAAAGGCCCUGCUUUUGUGGGGUGCUCGAGUGGCGAACGGGUGAGUAACACGUGAGUAACCUGCCCUUGACUUUGGGAUAACUUCAGGAAACUGUGGCUAAUACCGGAUAGGAGCUCCUGCUGCAUGGUGGGGGUUGGAAAGUUUCGGCGGUUGGGGAUGGACUCGCGGCUUAUCAGCUUGUUGGUGGGGUAGUGGCUUACCAAGGCUUUGACGGGUAGCCGGCCUGAGAGGGUGACCGGCCACAUUGGGACUGAGAUGCGGCCCAGACUCCUACGGGAGGCAGCAGUGGGGAAUAGUGCACAAUGGGCGGAAGCCUGAUGCAGCAACGCCGCGUGCGGGAUGACGGCCUUCGGGUUGUAAACCGCUUUCGCCUGUGACGAAGCGUGAGUGACGGUAAUGGGUAAAGAAGCACCGGCUAACUACGUG
rnacentral:rRNA from 1 species